UACGUAGGGUGCAAGCGUUGUCCGGAAUUAUUGGGCGUAAAGAGCUCGUAGGCGGUCUGUCGCGUCUGCUGUGAAAACUCGGGGCUUAACCCCGGGCCUGCAGUGGGUACGGGCAGACUAGAGUGCGGUAGGGGAGACUGGAAUUCCUGGUGUAGCGGUGAAAUGCGCAGAUAUCAGGAAGAACACCAAUGGCGAAAGCAGCUUUCUGGGACGGUACUGACGCUGAGACGCGAAAGCGUGGGGAGCGAACAGG
rnacentral:rRNA from 1 species